rnacentral:rRNA from 1 species
CGAAACGGGUGAGGUAACACGUGGGUAACCUGCCCAUAAAGAGGGGGAGUAACAUCCGGAAACGGGUAGCUAAUACCGCAUAGUUUUCUUGGUCGCAUGAUCGGGAAAGGAAAGACGGCCUUUGUGCUGUCGCUUAUGGAUGGACCCGCGGCGUAUUAGUUAGUUGGUGAGGUAACGGCUCACCAAGACGAUGAUACGUAGCCGACCUGAGACGGGUGAUCGGCCACAUUGGGACUGAGACACGGCCCAAACUCCUACGGGAGGCAGCAGUAGGGAAUCUUCCGCAAUGGACGAAAGUCUGACGGAGCAACGCCGCGUGAGUGAAGAAAAGGUUUUCGGAUCGUAAAACUCUGUUGUCAGAGAAGAACAAGUUGGAGAGUAACUGCUCCAGCCUUGACGGUAUCUGACCAGAAAGCCACGGCUAACUACGUGCCAGCAGCCGC